rnacentral:rRNA from 1 species
AAAACUUUGCAAUGCGGGAAACCGUGACAAGGGAACUCUGAGUGCCCGUAAAAUCGGGCUGUCCAUCAGUUUAAAAAACUGGUGAAGAAAGGGCCGGGCAAGACCGGUGCCAGCCGCCGCGGUAAUACCGGCGGCUCGAGUGGUGGCCACUAUUACUGGGCUUAAAGCGUUCGUAGCUGGUUUGUUAAGUCUCUGGGGAAAUCUUCCGGCUUAACCGGAAGGCGUCUCAGGGAUACUGGCAGACUAGGGACCGGAAGAGGUGAGAGGUACUCCAGGGGUAGGAGUGAAAUCCUGUAAUCCUUGGGGGACCACCUGUGGCGAAGGCGUCUCACCAGGACGGCUCCGACAGUGAGGGACGAAAGCUGGGGGAGCAAACCGGAUUAGAUACCCGGGUAGUCCCAGCCGUAAACGAUGUGCGUUAGGUGUAUCGGUGACCACGAGUCACCGAGGUGCCGAAGAGAAAUCGUGAAACGUACCGCCUGGGAAGUACGGUCGCAAGGCUGAAACUUAAAGGAAUUGGCGGGGGAGCACCACAACAGGUGGAGCCUGCGGUUUAAUCGGACUCAACGCCGGGAAACUCACCAGAUAAGACAGCUGAAUGAUAGUCGGGCUGAAGACUCUACUUGACUAGCUGAGAGGAGGUGCAUGGCCGUCGUCAGUUCGUACUGUGAAGCAUCCUGUUAAGUCAGGCAACGAGCGAGACCCACGCCAACAGUUGCCAGCUCGUCCUCCGGGAUGGAGGGGACACUGUUGGGACCGCCUCUGCUAAAGAGGAGGAAGGAAUGGGCAACGGUAGGUCAGCAUGCCCCGAAUUAUCUGGGCCACACGCGGGCUACAAUGGGUGGGACAAUGGGUAUCGACACCGAAAGGUGAAGGCAAUCUCCUAAACCCAUCCUUAGUUCGGAUUGUGGGCUGCAACUCGCCCACAUGAAGCUGGAAUCUGUAGUAAUCGUGUCUCAAAAUGGCACGGUGAAUACGUCCCUGCUCC